rnacentral:snRNA from 1 species
AUACUUACCUGGCAGGGGAGAUACCAUGAUCACAAAGGUGGUUUUCCCAGGGUGAGGCUUAUCCAUUGCACUCCAGAUGUACUGACCCCUGCAAUUUCCCCCAAAUGUGGGAAACUCGACUGCAUAAUGUGUGGUAGUGGGGACAGCAUUUGUGCUGUCUCCUA